rnacentral:rRNA from 1 species
CCUACGGGAGGCAGCAGUGGGGAAUAUUGCACAAUGGGGGAAACCCUGAUGCAGCCAUGCCGCGUGAAUGAAGAAGUAUUUCGGUAUGUAAAGCUCUAUCAGCGGGGAAGAAAAUGACGGUACCUGACUAAGAAGCCCCGGCUAACUACGUGCCAGCAACCUCGGUAAUACGUAGGGGGCACGCGUUAUCCGGAUUUACUGGGCGUAAAGGGAGCGUAGACGGUGAUGCAAGUCAGAAGUGAAAGCCCGGGGCUCAACUCCGGGACUGCUUUUGAGACUGUGUGACUGGAGUGCAGGAGAGGGAAGUGGAAUUCCUGGUGUAGCGGUGAAAUGCGUAGAUAUCAGGAGGAACACCAGUGGCGAAGGCGGCUUACUGGACUGUAACUGACGUUGAGGUUCGAAAGCGUGGGGAGCAAACAGGAUUAGAUACCCCAGUAGUC